UCUCCGUAGGUGAACCAGCGGAGGGAUCAUUACAGAGUUUAUGCCCUUCCGGGUUGAUCUACCAUACUGUGUUAUCGUCACCUUUGUUGCCUUGGCGGGCCGAAAAGGCCUUGGCCCGGCAAACGGCCCCGGCAGGUACGCGUCUGCCAGAAGACUCUAAAUUUUUGAAUAUAAGUAUCGUCAGAGUAAUCUGUGAUAGUUAAAAUUUUUAAAAAUGGAUCUCAUGGAUCAGGCAUCGAAGAAGAACGCAGACGAUCGGUUGUGGCAAAGUCAGGACGC
rnacentral:misc_RNA from 1 species